GACGAACGCUGGCGGCGCGCUUAACACAUGCAAGUCGAACGGAAAGGCCUGCUUUCCCUUGUGGAUUGCGGGUACUCGAGUGGCGAACGGGUGAGUAACACGUGAGUGAUCUGCCCCCAACUUGGGUAUAAGCCUGGGAAACUGGGUCUAAUUCCCGAUAGGACUGCAGGGUGGUGCCUGUGGUGGAAAACGAUUUUCUAGUGGUUGGGGAUGAGCUCGCGGCCUAUCAGCUUGUUGGUGGGGUAAUGGCCUACCAAGGCGGCGACGGGUAGCCGGCCUGAGAGGGUGGACGGCCACAUUGGGACUGAGAUACGGCCCAGACUCCUACGGGAGGCAGCAGUGGGGAAUAUUGCACAAUGGGCGGAAGCCUGAUGCAGCGACGCCGCGUGGGGGAUGACGGCCUUCGGGUUGUAAACUCCUUUCGACCGCGAGGAAGCCACCUAGUUGGAAGGGUGGUGACGGUAGUGGUAGAAGAAGCACCGGCUAACUACGUG
rnacentral:rRNA from 1 species